CAACAAUCAUUCUUCUGCACUCCCCUCCCAGACAGCCCUCCAGGGCCCUUGGAACAGCGCCAGCCUUAAAUGCAGAUGAAGGAGGCGGCCACCCACACAGCCCGCUCCUUGACCCUGCGAGCUCCGCCACGGUCUCCCAGCUCCACGCUACACACCCACCAGUCAGCUCAGUUCCUCCUGAAAGGACCCCCAGGCUCUGGCGUGACACUCUGCCGCCGUCUCUCCCCUCGCCUGCUUUCGGUCCCGCCUCACAGCCUUUGUGCCCUGGCCCAGUUCCACGCUCAGCAUCCUCGUCUCCUCCGUGAAGCCUUCCUGGACUCCCCCCAGGUCAGGAGCCAGCCCACUCUCCACCUUCACAGUCCACGCCGUCACAGGGUAAUUUCGCAUUCGCUUUACUCUCGGGGUUGUUGGCAGAGCGUUACCCACUCCGACUUGAGGCUGAGUCCGGCUGUGCCCCUGGGGAAGGAGGUAAGGGGAGAGUGGCCCCUGGGGUGAGUCCAGGCCCACCCACUGUGGGGGUGGGACCUCAGGUCCAGGCCUGGAGAGAUCAGCUGGAGCCGGCAGGCUGCAGGCCUGUGCGGGCAGGGCACCCCCUCUGCAGGGGCGGGUGGGAGAGGUGGAAGCAUGGGCCAGUGCUCUGGGCUCCUUGGGGGCCAGGAGAUGCUGUCUGGGGGCCCGGAGCCUCACAGAGCCCCCUGCUGCAGGCAAUCUGUCCUCUAACGCAGGGGUCAGCCUACAGGCACUUUCUGUAACCGGCCAGAUAGUAAAUAUUUUUGGCUUUAUGGGCUGUACGGUGUCUGUCGCAGCUGCUCCACUCUGCUGUGUUGCAGGAAAGCUGCCACAGACGACGUGCAUCCGAAUCCGCACGAUUGUGUUCCAACAGAAGCUGGUGACAAAAGCAGACAUUCAGCUGAAUUUGGGCCCGGUCGUUUGCCGACACCUGCUCUCGGGUCGGGACCAUCCUCAUCAGUCUCUCCUGUUGUUUUAUCCAAGAACCUCCUUUCUGAGUUAGAGGCUGGGCCAUAUAGAGACCCCUCUCCUCCAGGGAGAAGCAGCUCUAUUAGAUGGAUCACAUUUCUGUACCUCCUAUGCCCCGAAAGGAUUUUAGACUCCAUCACCCCCACUGGACAGCAAAGCCACCUUGGGGAAGUAUCUGCUCAGGUCCUUCAGCUUUUCCAGAAGAGGAGACAUGGGUGGGGCGCCCGGGGUACAGCAGGAGCCUGCAGAGCGUCCAGUCAUGGGUGAGAUCUCCAGCCCCCAGCCCAGAGCCCCUCAGCCUGCUGGGACCUGGUGAGCUACCCUCUAAGUGGGCCCUUCCUGACCUAGCCUUGCCCCGUCCCCAAAGACAGAAUCAGAGAGGGACAAAUCCCUUUGCUGCUGACCGGGUAGUAGAGGGGGAGAUGGUGAAUGACCUCACAUUAGCAUGGGAGUCAGUUUGCAGGAAUUUGAUGAGAGGAGGUUGUGGACAAAUUGGAGGAGAUUGAGCCAAACGUGCUGGGUCUGGAGGGAUGGGGUGAGAGGUGGAGGGGUGAGGGGAAGACGGACGGUUCCAGGAGGGAUGGGGUGAGAGGUGGAGGGGUGAGGGGAGGAUGCACUGACUUGCAGCUCUCUGGUGGGAUGAGGCUUACAGAGACACUGACCCCUGGGCCACACGGUGUUGGGCAUCAGCCCUCUCACCCUCCCAGCGCCCCUGAUGGGUGAGGCAGCCAUGACCUCACUGUACGGAUAACACAGCGAGGCUCCCGGAGGUCACUGAACUUGACCAAGUGCACAGAGGGCAGCGUGGGGAGGACACGGACCUGCUUGGCCCCUACCUGCCCUGCUUGGGCUGCCCCUGUGCAGGCCCAGGCCCGGCAGUGCAGCGUCCCACACAUGAGGAAGCCUGCAGAGACUAGCAGGUCUUAGCAGAGAGGGUCUAGUCCCAGGCCUUGGGUCUUCCACUGACAGCCCACUGAUCCCGGAUGAGCCCCACUCAAUUUGCUCAGUGUGUGAUGCACAUGUGAUGCACAGACGGCAGUCAACAGACCCAAGGGCCCCCACCCCAGGGCUCAGUUUUACCCUGUUCCUUGGAAGAAUAAAACCCACCCUUCUAGCCUGUGUAUGCA
rnacentral:lncRNA from 1 species